rnacentral:tRNA from 1 species
UCCCUGGUGGCUCAGAGGUUAAAGCGUCUGCCUGCAAUGCUAGAGACCUGGGUUCGAUCCCUGGCUCGGGAA